CUCGGCUCUCUGUUCUCGGACGACCACAUCCGAGUAUCCAGCCCCACCGCCUUGCAGUUGGCCGAGGCGCUCCAGCCGCUCUUUGACAACGAUGACAGCAGUGUGCAGCUCUCCUCCAUGCUCCUCUUCAGUGGGGUGAUGAUGCUGCUAAAGAAAGAGGGGAAAAAGCCCCUGAAGCCACGGCAGAACCUGCUUCCACUCUUCUUCCACUGCUACGAUGAGAACCCGAGAGUGGCAGAGGCCUCUCGGGAAGCGCUGCUUUGCUUGGCCGGCUUCCUGAAGAGGGCGGAUCUCAAGAAGAGGUUGAAGAAGGAGCUGUGG